rnacentral:lncRNA from 1 species
AAUAAUGUCCAAAUUCGAGCGAUUGAACCUCAAAUCUCUCCUCGUGCAUUCUCCUUUCUCUCCUCUUACUAUAGAUAACCGUUUCUGACACUAAAGAUUUUCAUUCCCUUCACUCGCUUGACUUGGAGAUAAUGCACGCGAUUCGAAGCUUCUGAGAACGAUUUGCUAGAUGAGUGUGAGGUGUUGGAUUGAUUUCAGUCAAUC